CGGCAACAGCUCAAAUUUGAAAUCUCCCGACCGGGCGAGUUGUAAUUUGUAGAGGAUGUUUCGGGCACCGUCGCGGGUUAAUUUUCUUGGAACAGAAAGCCAUAGAGGGUGAGAGUCCCGUCUUGGCCCGCGGUAGGACCCAUGUGAAACUCCUUCGAC
rnacentral:rRNA from 1 species